GAUUUGUCUCUAACUCGUAAAGGUUCCAAAACUUUAAAAAAAGCUAUUGACAAGUUUAAGAAGGGAUGAUAUUAUAAAUAAGCUGUUUCGUGAGAGACGGCCAGCACGAAGAAGAGAAAAAAACUUCAAAAAAAGUGUUGACAAGAUAUUCUGUCUUUGAUAGAAUAUAGAAGUUGUCUCAAGAGAGGCAAAGACCUUUGAGAACUGAAUAAGAAACCAAGUGCAGGGUUAUGAUAGAAGAAUUAUAACCUGUCAAUUUACAAGAAUAAAUCGUCAGACGACGGUAAUGAGUUAACGCUCGAACAAUUAUUAAAGUAUUAAUGAGAGUUUGAUCCUGGCUCAGGACGAACGCUGGCGGCGUGCCUAAUACAUGCAAGUAGAACGCUGAAGAGAGGAGCUUGCUCUUCUUGGAUGAGUUGCGAACGGGUGAGUAACGCGUAGGUAACCUGCCUUGUAGCGGGGGAUAACUAUUGGAAACGAUAGCUAAUACCGCAUAACAAUGGAUGACACAUGUCAUUUAUUUGAAAGGGGCAAUUGCUCCACUACAAGAUGGACCUGCGUUGUAUUAGCUAGUAGGUGAGGUAAUGGCUCACCUAGGCGACGAUACAUAGCCGACCUGAGAGG
rnacentral:rRNA from 1 species